rnacentral:rRNA from 1 species
AGCAGCCGCGGUAAUUCCAGCUCCAAUAGCGUAUAUUAAAGUUGUUGCAGUUAAAAAGCUCGUAGUUGAAUUUCGGGAUUAGUAAGUUGGUCGUGCCUCUGGUAUGUACUGGCUUUACUGGUUCCUCCUUCUUGAAGAACUGUAAUGUCAUUAAUUUGGUGUUGCAGGGAAACAGGACUGUUACUUUGAAAAAAUUAGAGUGUUUAAAGCAGGCACACGCUUGAAUACAUUAGCAUGGAAUAAUGAAGUAGGACGUUUGACCCUAUUUUGUUGGUUUCUAGGAUCGACGUAAUGAUUAAUAGGGAUAGUUGGGGGCAUUAGUAUUCAAUUGUCAGAGGUGAAAUUCUUGGAUUUAUUGAAGACUAACUACUGCGAAAGCAUUUGCCAAGGAUGUUUUCAUUAAUCAAGAACGAAAGUUAGGGGAUCGAAGACGAUCAGAUACCGUCGUAGUCUUAACCAUAAACUAUGCCGACUAGGGAUCGGAUGAUGUUAAUUUUUUAAUGACUCA